AUCUCAAACCUAUCAACUAUCUAGCCAUUAAUAUACAAUACCAUCACUAAACCAAUAUUACCCUUUGAUCAUUUGAAAUUUGUUUACUAAAAAGGGCAUAUAAGUCAUUUUAUAAUCAUCUCAUUCUAUUCACUCCAGAACAACCCACUUCUGCCAUGUGUGUAUCAAAAUUUCCCUCCUACACAUAAUUUCAAUCUGCCAUUCAUUCUCUUUCAUGUUCCCUCUUCUUUUCUCACUUUCCCCAAUCUAUUCUUACCCUCUCUUCAAACCCUAACAAUGUCGCAGCCCCUUCCAUUAAUCCUAUCUACGACCACCACUAUCUGUCAUGAAAAUACCAAAGCCAUUUUGGUACUCAUCAUCUCAUGGCCUUUCUCGGUUGAAUUUUUGUUUCGAACGAUCUAUUGAUUCAAUCUACUCACCAAAUUUCUGUUAUAUUUAAAGUUGAAAAUGACCUGGAGACUAGGAUUUUGAUGUUUCUGCAAUAUUAAUGCACAAGUAGCUGUUAAUGGAAAUAAAACGGCAUUACGUCUUCAUUCAUAUUCAAAUGCUUUCAUCUUCUCUUGCUCAUCUAUCUUUCUCAAGUUCUACUUUACAUGCUUUCUCUUUAUUUUACAUGUAGAUCGAUUUUGAAGAUCUGGAAAUAAGAGACAUAGAACUUUUGAAGAUCUGCCAAGAUUUGAUUAUUGUUAGAAGAAUAACAUGGCAAAGAUGGUGGUCAUUUGAAUAUGUAAGAUCGUGUUCGCAUAAUGGAAGAGAAUCAAAUGAAGUUGAAAAAUAGAUUCAAAGAUGAUGUCUGGUCUGUUAUGCACUGUGACGGCAAUGCGGUUGUUACUAUUUUAGUAAAUUCAAUCAAGAAUAAGAGCAACACAUCUAAUCCAACAAGUUCCCUUUCACUCCAUGGCGGAAUUGUCUGUGCCAAAGCUUCUAUGUUACUCCAAAAUACCACUCCCGAUGUUUUAGUUCUCAUUCUGAAGGAACGCGCUUAGAGUGGGCUGAUUUUAGUGUUGACGCCUUUUCUGCUGCAUCACUUAAAGCUACCACCUAUGGCUAUCCAGGAAUGAGGUCGACAAGGUUUAUCGACAAUCAAGCAAUCAUGCCUCUUGGACAGACAAUUAAACAUGAAGAGAGAUUAGCUUAAGUGUUGGUCAUCCUAUCAUUGAACAACCAAGUCCAUGAAACCAACAUGAUUGGAGUCCAAAUACCAGUUCAACAAAUACUCCAUCUAAAAGUAAUGAUGCUGCAAUCUACUCUUGGAACAUAAUAACAUUUGCUUGAAAUACAUGUUUAAUUUUCAUUAUUAUGUGUUUUUAUUUUGGACCAUCGACAUCCGUUCUCAUUAAUACAUUAUAUUUUGUG